UAAGCAUAUCACUAAGCGGAGGAAAAGAAACUAACCAGGAUUCCCUUAGUAACGGCGAGUGAACAGGGAAAAGCCCAGCACCGAAGCCUGUGGUCGUUUGAUCACUAGGCAAUGUGGUGUUCAGGUCGAAUCGCAGAGGCACUGCUUCUCUCCAAGUCCGUCAAUGAGUACGGUAGUUGUGACACGGCCCAAAGAGGGUGAAAGGCCCGUGGGAGAGGAGAACAGACAGGCCAGUGUUUCUCUGAACAGACCUUGGAGUCGGGUUGUUUGAGAUUGCAGCCCAAAGUGGGUGGUAAACUCCAUCCAAGGCUAAAUACAAGCACGAGUCCGAUAGCGAACAAGUACCGUGAGGGAAAGUUGAAAAGUACUUUGAAGAGAGAGUAAACAGUGCGUGAAACCGUUCAGAGGUAAACGGGUGGAGUUGAACUGUGAUCUCCGAGAAUUCAGCUGGUGAUUGUGUCAUGAGCUUGGUCAUUUUGGUUGGAUGUUGGGGUCUGCGUAGCAGCAGGUUCUUGCCUUCGGGUGAGGAUGCGCGAUUCACUUGGCAUGUGAUGUGCGCCCUGAUCAUUCUCCGGACCGGUUGCCAGUGCACUUUCUCGGAGUGUUCACCACGACCGGCACUGCUGUCUGGCUGUUGCGGUUAAACCGGUUCAGCAUUGUCUCUGACUUUGUUGGGUCGGGAGGGCAGGUAGCUCGUUAGCUUGCUUGUGGUUCGCUGCAGGCGUUCGGCUUUUGAGUGUAAUCAGCUGACCGUAACGGUUCUGUGCAGUGUGUCGGAGACGUCGGCUCGUGGUGUGUGCAUUUGUGGCUGCCUGCUGGCGGGUCCAAGUUCGGUUGCCAUGUUGCCUGUUCAAGCAGGCCUGGUGAUGGCUCGGAUUCGUUCGGUGGGUAAGUGCAUUUGUGACACCGUAACAGGGCCAACAGUCUGUGGUGUGGCGGUAGACUUUCCACCUGACCCGUCUUGAAACACGGACCAAGGAGAGUAACACGCGCGCGAGUCAUUGGGUGCAACGAAACCCAAAGGCGCAGUGAAAGUGAAGGUCUGGCUUGUCCAGGCUGAGGUGAGAUCUCGUCGUUCCUCGCACAUGGUACCACCAAGCAUUGAGCGGCGAGCGCAUCACCGGCCCGUCCCAUGACGUAGUCGAGAUCUUCGGAUCUUCGCAUCGUUGGGGCGGAGCAUGAGCGUGCGUGUUGAGACCCGAA
rnacentral:rRNA from 1 species